rfam:Tetrasphaera japonica T1-X7 genomic scaffold, 1540_scaffold1
GACGUUCACCCCUUUACAACGGAUCGUCCGGCACGUUCCUGCCGGUGAAGGAAGGCGAC